GUGUCAGCAGCCGCGGUAAUACGGAGGGUGCGAGCGUUGUUCGGAAUUAUUGGGCGUAAAGCGCGUGUAGGCGGUUUGUUAAGUCUGAUGUGAAAGCCCUGGGCUCAACCCAGGAAGUGCAUUGGAUACUGGCAGACUUGAAUACGGGAGAGGGCAGUGGAAUUCCUGGUGUAGGAGUGAAAUCCGUAGAUAUCAGGAGGAACACCGGUGGCGAAGGCGGCUGCCUGGACCGAUAUUGACGCUGAGACGCGAAAGCGUGGGUAGCAAACAGGAUUAGAAACCCCCGUAGUCC
rnacentral:rRNA from 1 species